AAUGAACGCUGGCGGCGUGCCUAACACAUGCAAGUCGAACGAGAAAGCCCGCUAGGGUGAGUACAGUGGCGCACGGGUGAGUAAUACAUAGGAAUCUGCCUCUGAGUGAAGAAUACCCUAGAGAAAUUUAGGUUAAUACUGCAUAAGCCCAGAAAUGGGGAAAGGUGGCCUCAAGCUACCGCUGAGAGAUGAGCCUAUGGCCUAUUAGCUAGUUGGUAGGGUAAAAGCCUACCAAGGCGAGGAUGGGUAGCCGGCCUGAGAGGUUGUACGGCCAGACUGGAACUGAGACACGGUCCAGACUCCUACGGGAGGCAGCAGUGGGGAAUUUUGGACAAUGGGCGAAAGCCUGAUCCAGCAAUGCCGCGUGCAGGAUGAAGGCCUUCGGGUUGUAAACUGCUUUUGUACGGAACGAAAAAGCUCCUUCUAAUACAGGGGGCCCAUGACGGUACCGUAAGAAUAAGCACCGGCUAACUACGUGCCAGCCGCCGCAGUAA
rnacentral:rRNA from 1 species